rnacentral:rRNA from 1 species
UACGCAGGGGGCUAGCGUUGUUCGGAAUUACUGGGCGUAAAGCGCACGUAGGCGGAUCGAUCAGUCAGGGGUGAAAUCCCAGGGCUCAACCCUGGAACUGCCUUUGAUACUGUCGAUCUUGAGUCCGGAAGAGGUGAGUGGAACUCCGAGUGUAGAGGUGAAAUUCGUAGAUAUUCGGAAGAACACCAGUGGCGAAGGCGGCUCACUGGUCCGGUACUGACGCUGAGGUGCGAAAGCGUGGGGAGCAAACCGG